UACCACCACCAGCACUAGUAAUACUACUCUACUUUCUCUGCUUCCAAGAAAACCACAGUUACCACUACCAGUAGUAGUACAACCAUUGGUAAAAACGUCUAUCUUGCCUUCCAACCUUUUUCCCAGCAAUUGGGGGCGGUGGUCGCGGCCCGAAUCCUCCCAAUUUUGUCAUCUCCGAUGAAAAAAUGAACGACUUGCCCUUCAAAAACGCCGGGUCGAGGGUUGUAGAAGAAGAACAACAAGGAGAAGGAGAAGAGCAAGGCUGCUUUGGUAGCUGCAAUCCCAUCAUCCCAACACCAGCAAUCUACCUGCUGCUCUUACUGUUCACACUGGGACUGGGGUUCUCAAUUUUCAUCCUGGUUGUGGUCCACAACGCCCUCUUCUUCCUUGUGCUCCUCUGCUUCUCCGCUCUACUCGCUGCAUUUCUCCUUUGGAACUCUCUCAAUAAUUCCGGCGGCAGCUGCAGCAGCAGGAGAAAUGGGGCCCUUCUCUCUUACCUCCAUUUCUUCCCCGAUUCUGACCUCAGUCUCGCAGCACCAGGCCAGCUCGUCAAACUCACUGGCGUUUCCUCCUGCGGAAGUGUUUCUUUGGAGUCUUCAUACGAGAAAGUCAAUCGAUGUAUCUACACAUCCACUUUGUUGUAUGAGUUUGAAGAACCAGGUUUGAAACCCAUUGAUGAUAUGAAAUCAUGCUUCCAGUGGAGACUGGCAUAUUCUGAGGAUUUCUUUUGGCAGAGAUAUUCAACUGACUUCUACAUAACCGACAGAAGGUCUGGCAUCAGAGCUCUGGUGAAGGCUGGUACUGGCUGUAAAGUCAUUCCCUUGAUCAUCGAGAGUAGACUAGUAAAAACAACCAGGAAAUGCAAGGUUCUGUCUUCUACCUUGGGGAAAUGGCUUAUAGAAAGAAACCUUUCUGCUGAAGCUCGUCUGUUACGUUUGGAAGAAGGAUACAUAAAAGAAGGCAGCUCUGUGAGUGUGAUAGGAAUGUGUCAAAGACAGAAUGAUACUAUGAUGAUUGUCCAACCGCAGGAGACUCUUUCUACAGGAUGUCUGUGGCGGAAGUUGUUGCUCCCUGUGGAUGUUGAUGGACUGAUAUUCGGGCCACCCAAUAUGGCAGAUCCAGCUUCUCACUGAAAUGCGUCGCAACCUUCUGAUUAGGAUUAAAGAGCAGCGGAUUGCAUUCUGACGCAGUGUUUCUACACUCUUUUUUCUCUCUUUAAUCUCUGGUUUUUCAUUUUUCAGCGGCCUGGGAGGCUGGAUUUGACAUCUGACCUUUAUAUGUUUGGUACAGCAGGAAUCAGGAGAGGGGCAGGAGGAGUUGAUAGUGCACCGGAACAGUGUUUAACUUUUUAAACAGACAUGAAAUCAUCCUUUUCUCCGACAAAAUAAAGCAAGGUGAUAAGCAGCUUGAUUCUAAGGAGCACAAGCAAUCAAACAGCAGCAUUCGGUGUCAAAGUAUUAUCAACUCUCAAAAGCUUCAGAGUUGGUGACUGACAAGUGACAAACCUUGUUCGCGUGUAGCAGUAAACUUGAAAGUGAUUAACCAGUUGGGGCAAAUAGCUGGUUCCUCAGGCAGCAUAACCAUUCCUUUCCGCACAGCUUGGCUAGAACAAUAUAUUGUGAUGCAAUUAUCAUAGAACAAGCACACAUCAGAGAGCGAAAAAGGAUGGCUUUUUAUCCCAGAUAUCCUUCUAACGCAGCAGAAAUCUCACAGCGGGUCACAUUAUUGACAUGCAGCAAGCAGAAUCACAGAACAAGCACACGAAAGAGAGAAGGAAAGAGGGGGAGAGGGGGGGGGGAGGGGUGGUGGUGUUGGAGUGACGGAGAGAUAUCUUGAAUAUUCAAAUCCUCAAGAUUACGGUUAAGCAAACAAAAUGGUCCAUAUCUGGCUCUGU